CAAAGGCUUGGUCCUGACUUUAAAGUCAACUUUAGCUAAACUUACACAUGCAAGUAUCCGCACCCCUGUGAGGAUGCCCCCAACUCCCUGCCCGGGAACAAGGAGCUGGUAUCAGGCACAAUUCUUAGCCCACGACGCCUUGCUUAGCCACACCUUCAAAGGAAUUCAGCAGUGAUAAACAUUAAGCCAUAAGUGAAAACUUGACUUAGUUAAAGCUAAGAGAGCCGGUAAAACUCGUGCCAGCCACCGCGGUUAUACGAGAGGCUCAAGUUGACAAACACCGGCGUAAAGAGUGGUUAAGUUAAGAUUAAAACUAAAGUCAAACACCCUCAAAGCUGUUAUACGCAUCCGAGGAUUAGAAACUCAACCACGAAAGUGACUUUACUUAAACUGAACCCACGAAAGCUACGAUACAAACUGGGAUUAGAUACCCCACUAUGCUUAGCCCUAAACAUUGAUAGAACUUUACAACCUCUAUCCGCCUGGGGACUACAAGCAUUAGCUUGAAACCCAAAGGACUUGGCGGUGCUUUAGACCCACCUAGAGGAGCCUGUUCUAGAACCGAUAACCCCCGUUCAACCUCACCUCUCCUUGUUCCUCCCGCCUAUAUACCACCGUCGUCAGCUUACCCUGUGAAGGACCAAUAGUAAGCUUAACCGGCUCAGCCCAAAACGUCAGGUCGAGGUGUAGCGAAUGGAGGGGGAAGAAAUGGGCUACAUUCGCUAUAACAACGAAUACGGAUAUUGUACUGAAACGUACACUUGAAGGAGGAUUUAGCAGUAAGUAGAAAAUAGAGUGUUCUACUGAAAUUGGCCCUGAAGCGCGCACACAUCGCCCGUCACUCUCCCCAAGCAUAACAACUGAUUAACUAAAAACUAAUAAUUGCAAAGGGGAGACAAGUCGUAACAUAGUAAGUGUACCGGAAGGUGCACUUGGCAAAG
rnacentral:ncRNA from 1 species